GAACGCUGGCGGCGUGCUUAACACAUGCAAGUCGAACGGAAAGGCCCUGCUUGCAGGGUACUCGAGUGGCGAACGGGUGAGUAACACGUGGGUGAUCUGCCCUGCACUUCGGGAUAAGCCUGGGAAACUGGGUCUAAUACCGGAUAGGAGCCAUUUUUAGUGUGAUGGUUGGAAAGUUUUUUCGGUGUAGGAUGAGCUCGCGGCCUAUCAGCUUGUUGGUGGGGUAAUGGCCUACCAAGGCGGCGACGGGUAGCCGGCCUGGGAGGGUGGACGGCCACAUUGGGACUGAGAUACGGCCCAGACUCCUACGGGAGGCAGCAGUGGGGAAUAUUGCACAAUGGGCGCAAGCCUGAUGCAGCGACGCCGCGUGGGGGAUGACGGCCUUCGGGUUGUAAACUCCUUUCGCUAGGGACGAAGCUUUUUGUGACGGUACCUAGAGAAGAAGCACCGGCUAACUACGUG
rnacentral:rRNA from 1 species